CUCAAAAAUGGUAACAAUUUCCGCACGUAAUACAAACAUACUGAAAAUAUGCAAACUUUGCAAGGCUAUAUUUUCUGUAUUUUACAACAUUUCGUAACCAAAUUUUGCAAUUUUACUGAUUUUGAUAAGUCCUUUACGGGAAUUUACUUUUUUUUGCCUAAAUCUAGAAUUAGUCUAACAUGCAAGUUGUCUAUUAAUUAAUAUCAAAUGCAGCUUAUGUGUAUAAAUGUGUUGUUCAUGCGCAGCUUAGCAACAAAACAAACAUAGAUGCAACAGGACCCCAUGAUGUCGCAAACAUUCAGUUAAACCAGUCAAACCGGUUUUUGUAAGCUGUGUCUUGCAGGUCAAUGACACCGCAGUUAAUAACUGUGAUGACACACACUCUUAAAAAUUACGGGAACCACUGAGUAUGACUGAAUCUUAGUCGAAAGCUAGAAUAUUAUUAAAAUGUUUAUUUUCGGAGUUACCGUUGUUUUACACACUCUUAACUUGAGUGCAUGCUCACUGCCAAAAAUAAUACGACGAAUUCAGUUUUAUUUAACCCAGUCAAACCGGUUUUUGUAGGCUGUGUCUCAUAUUACAUAUAUAAUCUCAGACAGUGAUUGCUCUUCUUUAUUGAAUCUGAAUAUGUGUUAAUGGCGCACAAUCUUGAGUGCAUGCUCACUGCCAAAAAUAUAAGAAAGUUCAAGUUAUUAGCCAUUAGGGUGCUUUCGACUCAAGUUAUUGCGGUGCUUUCGACUCAAGUCGUAUCAAGUUAUUGGGAUGCUUUCGACUGAAGUCAAGUUAAGUUAUUGGGCUGCUUUCGACUGGAGUCGUGUCAAGUUAUUGGGCUGCUGCCAUUAGGGUGCUUUCGACAA